UCUGAACAAGAGGAAACUAUGGCAUCUACUUAUUCUCAACCUCGAAAAGUACAUCACUCUUGCCAUUUUCCAAGUUUGUUACGUUUUAGCUUCAAUCUAUGAUUUUUUGUGAUGUUUUUGUCGAUUUCGUUUGUACUUCAUGUUGAUUUUGCUGCAAUUUUGUUGCUUCUUUUUCUUGUUUGUUAUGGAUUUCAGCGAAUUUAGGGUUCUUUUAUUUCUUGUACGGCUAUGUGUUGUGAGAUUAGGGUUUUGGGGUAUCGAUCUUAGGGAGGAUUUGAGCGGAAUUAGGAUUUCAUAUUGGUUUAAAUGUUUUAGGGUAUAAAGGUAAUCGACUAAUCCGAAUAUGAUUUGAUUUGGUUAGUUUUUGUGUUUCAUAGAUUUCAGAUGAAGGCUGAUAUAGGCAUGUUUUGAUGUUGGUACAUAUUACGAUAUUCGGGACAUUUGCCUAAAAUUAAUCUUGGUUAAUCACCACUUAUCAAUAACUUUUUACUAAUUAAAUAAUUUUGCACUUAAUUUCUCUGAAUGAUGUAGGAUACCAUGAAAAUUUGUUAAUGCCUAGCAUAAUUAGUGCAAUGACAACGCCAAAAACUAAACCUAAGAUACAAAAAUAAGCGGCCUAAGUUUUAUUAGUGUUGAACCAAUUAAUCAUGGUUUAGUUUAAUUAGUUAAGGGCUUGUUGGAUAUCACAGUCACUCUUGUCACACCACUCUUCUUCAUUCUUGCUGCCAAGCUGGUCUUGUCCGAAGCUGUGAUUAUUCUCGGACUUUAUUGGUUGAUUGAUGCCGAAUUUCUGAUCAAAAAUAUCUGUUUUCAGCUAAUUCUGUGGUCAACGUGCUGUUGUAGGGGUAGGUUCAUCUGAGGUUGAAGCAAAGUAGACAGGUUUACAAUAUUGAUAUAGGUGUACUGAGGGAAGAAGGGUGAGUAGUGAUGGCUUUCAAGCCAUUUGAUUGGUAUUGCCAGCCAGUGGCGAAUGGUGUAUGGGCAACAGCGGUGCAAAAUGCUCUGGGAGCUUUUACACCCUGUACCACAGACACUAUUGUGAUUUGCAUAUCACAUUUAGCUAUGAUGGGGCUGUGUGUAUAUCGAAUAUGGAUAACCAACAUGAAUUUCAAAGCUGAGAAGUUUUGUUUGAGGUCCAAAUAUUACAACUACUUUUUGGCUUUGUUGGCUGGUUACUCUGCAGCUGAACAUUUGUUCAGGUUAAUCAUGGGUGUUUCGGUGCUUAAUUUGGAAGGGGAGGCUGGUCUUGCGCCAUUUGAGCAAGUAAAUUACAGUAAUGCUAGAAAAUGAGAAAAAGAAGGUUGGUUUCAACAAUUUAGAGGAUCUAUGCAGAUAGCUCCAAGAAGAAAGUGGCUGAUGUUAUCAUGUUGAAUCAUAUAGGGAACAUAGAAGAAAACCUCUAAAGAGAAGAACAUGAAAGAGGCUUGGAAGCUAAACCAUGGAGAUGGCAUUGCCUUCUUGUUUUCUGUCAGAGAGCCAAACAACAUUGAGAAAGUACGCCAGGAGGUAAGGUGCAAGGGAAGUUCAAAUUCGGAAACCACGCAAACAGAGGUGGAGGCGAACAUAUGCUUAUGCCCGCACCGCUAAUACUUAUUAUUAUCAAUAUGUUACUUUUGAAUUAUGUAGACUUUUGAGACUUAUUAUUUUAUUUUUGGAUAUUACAAUUGGUGUAUAGUGGGAUAAUUUUUUUGUAAUUAUAAGAAUUAUUUUGGAAUUGCCAAA